rnacentral:tRNA from 1 species
GGCCCCUUAGCUCAUCUGGAUAGAGCGACAGUUUCCUAAACUGUAGGCAGCAGGUUCGAGUCCUGCAGGGGUCACCA